ACGAACGCUGGCGGCGUGCUUAACACAUGCAAGUCGAACGAGGUGAUUGAAAGCUUGCUUUGAGAACCGAGUGGCAAACGGGUGAGUAACGCGUAGACAACCUGCCGCAAAGAUGGGGACAACAGUCCGAAAGGACUGCUAAUACCGAAUGUUGUCAAGUUUCCGCAUGGGAGCUUGAUUAAAGAUGGCCUCUACUUGUAAGCUAUCGCUUUGCGAUGGGUCUGCGUCUGAUUAGCUAGUUGGUGGGGUAACGGCCCACCAAGGCGACGAUCAGUAGCCGGUCUGAGAGGAUGAACGGCCACAUUGGAACUGAGACACGGUCCAGACUCCUACGGGAGGCAGCAGUGGGGAAUCUUCCGCAAUGGGCGAAAGCCUGACGGAGCAACGCCGCGUGAGUGAAAGAAGGGCUUCGGCUCGUAAAGCUCUGUUGACGGGGACGAAUGUGCGAAAUGCGAAUAGUUUUUCGCAAUGACGGUACCCGUCGAGGAAGCCACGGCUAACUACGUGCCAGCCGCCGC
rnacentral:rRNA from 1 species